rnacentral:rRNA from 1 species
CGGAGGGAGCUAGCGUUGUUCGGAAUUACUGGGCGUAAAGCGCGCGUAGGCGGCUUAUCAAGUCAGGGGUGAAAUCCCGGGGCUCAACCCCGGAACUGCCCUUGAAACUGGUUGGCUAGAAUCCUGGAGAGGCGAGUGGAAUUCCGAGUGUAGAGGUGAAAUUCGUAGAUAUUCGGAAGAACACCAGUGGCGAAGGCGACUCGCUGGACAGGUAUUGACGCUGAGGUGCGAAAGCGUGGGGAGCAAAUAGGAUUAGAUACCCUGGUAGUCCACGCCGUAAACGAUGAUAACUAGCUGUCCGGGCACAUGGUGCUUGGGUGGCGCAGCUAACGCAUUAAGUUAUCCGCCUGGGGAGUACGGUCGCAAGAUUA